rnacentral:lncRNA from 12 species
AUGGGGCCGACGCAAGCCUUUCCCCGGCAGGCCCGGGCUUCCCGUUUCUCGGGUCUUCUGAGAACUGGCUUCUUGGUUCCUGGAGAGAGCAGUGCCUGCCUGGCUUCUGAUAAGGAGGCUGAAACGUGGAAUCUCGGAGCCCUGAGAGCCAUAUACACAUAUAGCAGUCAAGGCGCCCGUUUCCGCCGGCAGUCCAUGAACCUCAACCGCCACCAGCGCAAAGCAUCAGUCACUUCCAUCAGCCCUGGGAUGAUUUCCACCGAGGCACCAGAUAAAACACUCAGCGCACACACGCUACGUUUCUCAGCCGCCGUGUGUCCUGCUGCAGGUGAUAGGAGCCGAACACGAGGUACACGAGUCAGCAGAACGCAGCCGGCAAAUGAGAAUCGGAGCAGUAGGACGUGGUGCCCGCUCACCCCGCACGCUUCCCCGUGGCUCCGGGCGGCCUCCAGCUUCCCCGGAUGA